CCGUAUUUCAUCACAUCUAUAUAUGCCGAAAAAGAGUUCAAGAGCUUAGUAGGUGCAAAUUUUAAACCUAAAACAGAGAUCCAGAACAGAGAUCCAGAACUCCUAAACAGAGAUCCAGAAUACCUUAUAGAAAUAUUGAUGAACAAAAGGAAAAUACAAAUAAGAGAGAAGAAUGGAUUCAAGUAAGAAAUAGAAACAAGCGACAAUAUGAUAGGAAGGGAUCCCCCUAUAGAGAUAGGGUGGAAGAUAGGGUACCUAAAAAGGACAUCCAAUAUAGAAAUGAUUUUAGUAACCGGUUUGAUAUUUUAAGGGAUGUGGAUACAGAAAGGAAUUUUUUAGAGAAAGAACCGAGGAGGGAAGAGUUUCCUAUAAAAAGAACGAGGAGAAUAAGUUUC